rnacentral:rRNA from 1 species
UUCCGUAGGUGAACCUGCGGAAGGAUCAUUACCGAGUGAGGGUCCCCUCUGGGGGCCCAACCUCCCACCCGUGUCUACUGUACCAUGUUGCUUCGGCGGGCGCGCCCGUGCCCGCCGGAGACCCCUUGAACGCUGUUGUGAAUUAAGGUUGUCUGAGUGAGAUUGCAAACUGUCAAAACUUUCAACAACGGAUCUCUUGGUUCCGGCAUCGAUGAAGAACGCAGCGAAAUGCGAUAAGUAAUGUGAAUUGCAGAAUUCCGUGAAUCAUCGAAUCUUUGAACGCACAUUGCGCCCCCCGGCAUUCCGGGGGGCAUGCCUGUCCGAGCGUCAUUGCCACCCCUCAAGCACGGCUUGUGUGUUGGGCCGCCGUCCCCGCCGACUUCCGGGGGGGACGGGCCCGAAAGGCAGCGGCGGCACCGCGUCCGGUCCUCGAGCGUAUGGGGCUCUGUCACCCGCUCUGGAGGCCUGACCGGCGCCUGCCCACCCGUCGAUCUUUCCAGGUUGACCUCGGAUCAGGUAGGGAUACCCGCUGAACUUAAGCAUAUCAAUAAGCGGAGGAAAAGAAACCAACAGGGAUUGCCUCAGUAACGGCGAGUGAAGCGGCAAGAGCUCAA